rnacentral:rRNA from 1 species
GAUGAACGCUGGCGGCGUGCUUAACACAUGCAAGUCGAACGAUGAAGCCCAGCUUGCUGGGUGGAUUAGUGGCGAACGGGUGAGUAACACGUGAGUAACCUGCCCUUGACUCUGGGAUAAGCCUGGGAAACUGGGUCUAAUACUGGAUAUGACUUCUCAUCGCAUGGUGGGGGGUGGAAAGAUUUGUUGGUCUUGGAUGGACUCGCGGCCUAUCAGCUUGUUGGUGAGGUAAUGGCUCACCAAGGCGACGACGGGUAGCCGGCCUGAGAGGGUGACCGGCCACACUGGGACUGAGACACGGCCCAGACUCCUACGGGAGGCAGCAGUGGGGAAUAUUGCACAAUGGGCGCAAGCCUGAUGCAGCGACGCCGCGUGAGGGAUGACGGCCUUCGGGUUGUAAACCUCUUUCAGUAGGGAAGAAGCGAGAGUGACGGUACCUGCAGAAGAAGCGCCGGCUAACUACGUG